UUAGUUAUCUUGGCUGGAGCUGUUUAGUUCAGCUCCAGCCAAGAUAACUGA
ensembl:miRNA